AUUGAACGCUGGCGGCAGGCCUAACACAUGCAAGUCGAGCGAGCGGCGGACGGGUGAGUAAUGUCUGGGAAACUGCCUGAUGGAGGGGGAUAACUACUGGAAACGGUAGCUAAUACCGCAUACCAUCAGAUGUGCCCAGAUGGGAUUAGCUAGUAGGUGGGGUACCGGCUCACCUAGGCGACGAUCCCUAGCUGGUCUGAGAGGAUGACCAGGAAAACGGGAACUGAGACACGGUCCAGACUCCAUAGGGAGGCAGCAGUGGGGAAUAUUGCACAAUGGGCGAAAGCCUGAUGCAGCCAUGCCGCGUGUGUGAAGAAGGACUUCGGGUUGUAAAGCACUUUCAGCUGGGAGGCGUUACCCGCAGAAGAAGCACCGGCUAACUCCGUGCCAGCAGCCGCGGUAAUUC
rnacentral:rRNA from 1 species